rnacentral:misc_RNA from 1 species
GUGAAUCAUCGAAUCUUUGAACGCAAAUUGCACUCUCCGGUUUUCCGGGGGAGUAUGCCUGUUUGAGGGCCAGCCUAAACAAAAAUCGACAUUGUUGUUGUUUUAUGGUGAAUUUCGUCGGAGAUGGGUUAUCUUAAAUAUCAUUUUAAGCGACUUAAAUAUUUUUUUUACGAUUCUAAGAUUGUUUCUAAGAUUUUUCUUGUACGUUUAAGGUUUCGCAUGUCUUAUU